rnacentral:other from 4 species
AAUUACCUGAGAUGUUCGAUAACCUUGUUGUUUUGAACCUACAUUACUUUAAACGGGACUCUCAAAUCUCUGUAAUAUGUCAGGCCAUCAUUAUGCAGUGGAAGACAGAAAAGCAGAUGCGGACGCCCACCUAGCAGAAGCUAGGAGUCAGAAGACAGGGAACGGCAUUUUGGGGAUAUA